GUGCCGGCAAACGUGGCGCGGACGAGCAAGGAGGGAGCUCCCCGAGCCUGGUGCCUGAGAGAGAUGCCGUCUCUGCCGAGUGCAGCGACGAGGAGGCCGCCACGGCGCGGAUGACAGAGCGGCACGCGGAGACGGAGGUGUAAGAGGAGAAGAGGUGGAGGAUGAGGUGUCAAGAGUCGGAGUCGGAAGUUUGUGUGUUUGUGGGCAAAGCGGCCACUGUAGUAGUACCGUCCUUGUUGCUGUUGUUAUAUUGAUGGUGAAAAGUUAUUUACCACCCACCCCCCUCACCCCGACUUUAUAUUGAAGCUUUUAGUUGUGUGAUGUCCGGUACUCACACAGAGACCCAAAGACUCGCCACACAGAGACCCACAGAGUCACCACACAGAGACCCACAGACUCACCACACAGAGACCCACAGACUCACCACACAGAGACCCAUAGACUCACCACUCAGAGACCCACAGACUCACCACUCAGAGACCCACAGACUCACCACACAGAGACCCAU